rnacentral:rRNA from 1 species
AUGAACAUACUGGACUACCUGAAGCCUGAUAAAUUUCCAGACAAGUAUAACCUCAAACGGUACACAAAGACUGCAAAAUCACAACCAACAUUUGAUACAAGGGACUACAACACGACUCUAUCGGAUGGCAGCUCAAGACUAUCGAAGCAAGACAUCUUGCUGCAGCUAAAUUUGAUGGUUAACAAGAAAGCGAUGAGAUGUGACCAGCAAUAUGACAGAGCCUUCUAUGUUCUCAAGAGGCUAGUGGAAGAGCUUGAUGCAAUACAUUUAGCAAAUCGAAUGAAUGCUGACCAAAGGAUGGCUGAAGAGGAUGCUGAAAUUGAAGAUGACCUUCAUUAUUAUGCAGCUGAAAUGCCCCAGGCCACUACUCAAGCCAACCAAUCUAAGCAGGGUGUUGACCAAUUAAUGCAGCAGCAGCAACAAGAGAUGAUGAAACUGCCUCUGUACUCUGAAACAAAUUGUAGGAAGAAAAUUUCUGCAGCAAAGAAAAGUGAGAGAGCUCAAAUAAAGGCACCACCUGUAGCAAGAGUCAACGUGCUCGAUGGGAACGGAGUGCCACUUGGACACAAGCAAUGUAGUGUGCGCAAAAAGGUUGCAGGACCCAACAAGCUCACCUGUCCAACACUCUUAGAAAGAAACAAUACAAAGGAGGUCAAGCAACCCAAAGUUCAAAAACAGCAGCAUAAAGUUAUAGAACAAAACAAGGGACCACACCCACAGAAAGCAAGCAGCGGACUUUGUAGCAUAUGCAAGAAGUAUGAACCACAUAAUGCAAGAACAUGCCCGAAGCACGCUGAUGCUGAAAAUACAAGCAAAAAGCCAGAGAAGAAGCAGAAAGCAAAACCUAGAGCCAACAACAAUAAAGUGGUGGAAGAUCAAGAGGAAGACGAAGAUGAAGACGCCAUGGAAGAAGAGGAAGAGGAAGAGGAAGAAGAAGACGACGAUGAAGAGGAAGAGGACAAUGAAGUGGAAGAGGACGAUGAAGAGGAAGAGAAGAUGAAGAGGAAAUGGAAAAGGUGCAUGUCAAGCAAAAACCACUACAACCAAAGCCUAGGAGGAGUGCAUGGCUGA